CGCGGGGCACCUGGCGACGAGUGGCAAACGGGUGAGUAAUACAUCGGAACGUGCCCAGUAGUGGGGGAUAGCCCGGCGAAAGCCGGAUUAAUACCGCAUACGACCUACGGGUGAAAGCGGGGGAUCGCAAGACCUCGCGCUAUUGGAGCGGCCGAUGUCGGAUUAGCUAGUUGGUGGGGUAAAAGCCUACCAAGGCUACGAUCCGUAGCUGGUCUGAGAGGACGACCAGCCACACUGGGACUGAGACACGGCCCAGACUCCUACGGGAGGCAGCAGUGGGGAAUUUUGGACAAUGGGCGCAAGCCUGAUCCAGCCAUGCCGCGUGCGGGAAGAAGGCCUUCGGGUUGUAAACCGCUUUUGUCAGGGAAGAAACGGUUCAUAUUAAUACUAUGGACUAAUGACGGUACCUGAAAAAUAAGCACCGGCUAACUACGUGCCA
rnacentral:rRNA from 1 species